GUUAACAUUUGGGUGUAGAACAUAACCCAGCCUGAAUCACCCCGAUGCUGCUCACCCGGGGGUGUGCUGGUAAGCCAGCUCUGUGAAGGAAAAGUCCUGGUCUGGAAUAUUUGCUGAGUUCUGGGAAGCAAAUACUCCCACCACAGCUAAUGUCAAGGUGCUGACCUGAGGCCACUGGACAUGGGGUUGGGAAGAUGUGCCCUUCCUCCCACCACAGCUGCCCUCAGCCGUACCCCCGUCUCCCCCAACAACUGCCCCAUCUUAGCUACCCACUCAGAGCCAGUGUGGGGUCUCUCUGUCCCUCAUCCCCACAUAACCAUGUUCUGUCAAUUCUGCCUUCAAAGUGUCCUUCAUCUGUUGGCUACUUCCAUUCACUCUGCCGCCAUCUUUAAUCCAGAUCCUGUUAUCCUGUCUACAGUGUCCUUCCAGAUGCUCCCCUCUACUCCUGCCCCAUCCAACCCAUCACAACCAGUGAGGUCUUAAAAUAGACAUUUUAUGGUGCCACAUUCCAAUAAAUGUCACCUCCCAAGAGAGUACUUUCUUGACAACCCUCUCUCCAAACCUGCUUGGUUUCCUAAACAGCACUUAAGGUAUUUGAUCACUUUUUUUUUUUUUUUUUUGACGGAGCCUUGCUCUGUGGCCAGGCUGGAGUGCAAUGGCGUGAUCUUGGCUCACUGCAACCUCUGCCUCCCGGCUUCAAGCGAUUCUCCUGCCUCAGCCUCCUGAGUAGCUGGGACUACAGGUGUGCACCACCAUGCCCUGCUAAUUUUUGUAUUUUUAGUAGGGACGAGGUUUCACCAUGUUGGCUAGGAUGGUCUUGAUCUCCUGACCUCAUGAUCCGCCCACCACAGCCUCCCAAAGUGCUGGGGUUACAGGGGCGUGAGCCACCGCGCCCGGCCAAAAAAAACUUUUUAAAAUUAGCCAGGCAUUGUGUCACACACCUGUAAUCAAAGCUACUCAGGAGGCUGAGGCAGGAGGACUGCUUGAGCCCAGCAGUCCAAGGCCACAGUGAGGUAUGACUGAACCACUACAUCCAGCUUGGGAGACAAAGCGAGACCCAAUCUCUU
rnacentral:lncRNA from 10 species